GCUCUUUUAACUCAAUAGGUAGAGUAGGCAGCUCAUAACUGUCCGGUUGUUGGUUCGAGUCCAGCAAGGAGCA
rnacentral:tRNA from 1 species